rnacentral:rRNA from 1 species
AUUGAACGCUGGCGGCAGGCUUAACACAUGCAAGUCGAGCGGAAACGAUGAUAGCUUGCUAUCAGGCGUCGAGCGGCGGACGGGUGAGUAACGCGUAGAAAUCUACCUAGUAGUGGGGAACAACCUGUGGAAACGCAGGCUAAUACCGCAUACGUCCUACGGGAGAAAGGGGGCCUCUUCUUGAAAGCUCUCGCUAUUAGAUGAGUCUGCGUCGGAUUAGCUAGUUGGUGGGGUAAAGGCUCACCAAGGCGACGAUCCGUAGCUGGUCUGAGACGAUGAUCAGCCACACUGGGACUGAGACACGGCCCAG